rnacentral:tRNA from 1 species
GCCCGGAUAGCUCAGCAGGUAGAGCAAAGGAGUGAAAAUCCUUAUGUCCGGUUCGAUCCCGAGUCCGGGCACCA